UACGGAGGAUCCAAGCGUUAUCCGGAUUUAUUGGGUUUAAAGGGUGCGUAGGCGGCCUGUUAAGUCAGGGGUGAAAGACGGUAGCUCAACUAUCGCAGUGCCCUUGAUUCUGAUGGGCUUGAAUGGACUAGAGGUAGGCGGAAUGAGACAAGUAGCGGUGAAAUGCAUAGAUAUGUCUCAGAACACCGAUUGCGAAGGCAGCUUACUAUGGUUUAAUUGACGCUGAGGCACGAAAGCGUGGGGAUCAAACAGG
rnacentral:rRNA from 1 species